rnacentral:rRNA from 1 species
CCUACGGGAGGGCAGCAGUGGGGAAUAUUGGACAAUGGGCGAAAGCCUGAUCCAGCCAUGCCGCGUGUGUGAAGAAGGCCUUCGGGUUGUAAAGCACUUUCAGUGGGGAAGAAAGCCUUGGGGCUAAUACCCUCGAGGAAGGACAUCACCCACAGAAGAAGCACCGGCUAACUCCGUGCCAGCAGCCGCGGUAAUACGGAGGGUGCGAGCGUUAAUCGGAAUUACUGGGCGUAAAGCGCGCGUAGGCGGUCUGAUAAGCCGGUUGUGAAAGCCCCGGGCUCAACCUGGGAACGGCAUCCGGAACUGUCAGGCUAGAGUGCAGGAGAGGAAGGUAGAAUUCCCGGUGUAGCGGUGAAAUGCGUAGAGAUCGGGAGGAAUACCAGUGGCGAAGGCGGCCUUCUGGACUGACACUGACGCUGAGGUGCGAAAGCGUGGGUAGCAAACAGGAUUAGAUACCCGAGUAGUC